GAUGGUGUGGGGUGCGUUGAUCCGUCAUCCGCAUCUUGGACACUUGGGUGACGAGGAGCCAAUAGUGAAACCGACCCACACGGGU
rnacentral:ncRNA from 2 species